GUGCCAGCAGCCGCGGUAAUACGUAGGUGGCAAGCGUUGUCCGGAUUUACUGGGCGUAAAGGAUGUGUAGGCGGAUAUUUAAGUUAGAUGUGAAAUCCCCGGGCUUAACUUGGGGGCUGCAUUUCAAACUGGAUGUCUAGAGUGCAGGAGAGGAAAGCAGAAUUCCUAGUGUAGCGGUGAAAUGCGUGGAGAUAAAGAAGAAUACCAGUGGCGAAGGCGGCUGUCUGGACAGUAACUGACGCUGAG
rnacentral:rRNA from 1 species